UACGUAGGGUGCGAGCGUUGUCCGGAAUUACUGGGCGUAAAGAGCUCGUAGGUGGUUUGUCGCGUUGUUCGUGAAAACUCACAACUCAAUUGUGGGCGUGCGGGCGAUACGGGCAGACUGGAGUACUGCAGGGGAGACUGGAAUUCCUGGUGUAGCGGUGGAAUGCGCAGAUAUCAGGAGGAACACCGAUGGCGAAGGCAGGUCUCUGGGCAUUAACUGACGCUGAGGAGCGAAAGCAUGGGGAGCGAACAGG
rnacentral:rRNA from 1 species